AAGCCAGAUGACGAUUUUGGAUAAAAUUCUCACGACGGUCGUCUGAGACACCUUCAAAAGUGUCUUCUUUGAUGUACUGUUCCAAUAUUUCUGAUGGUU